rnacentral:rRNA from 1 species
AUUGAACGCUGGCGGCAUGCCUUACACAUGCAAGUCGAACGGCAGCACGGGAGCAAUCCUGGUGGCGAGUGGCGAACGGGUGAGUAAUAUAUCGGAACGUGCCCAGUCGUGGGGGAUAACGCAGCGAAAGCUGUGCUAAUACCGCAUACGAUCUAUGGAUGAAAGCGGGGGACCGCAAGGCCUCGCGCGAUUGGAGCGGCCGAUAUCAGAUUAGCUAGUUGGUGGGGUAGAGGCCCACCAAGGCGACGAUCUGUAGCUGGUCUGAGAGGACGACCAGCCACACGGGAACUGAGACACGGUCCAGACUCCUACGGGAGGCAGCAGUGGGGAGUUUUGGACAAUGGGCGCAAGCCUGAUCCAGCAAUGCCGCGUGCAGGAUGAAGGCCUUCGGGUUGUAAACUGCUUUUGUACGGAACGAAACGGCGCAAGCUAAUACCUUGCGCUAAUGACGGUACCUGCAGAAUAAGCACCGGCUAACUACGUGCCAGCCGCCGCGGUAAUAC